rnacentral:rRNA from 1 species
UACGAAGGGGGCUAGCGUUGCUCGGAAUUACUGGGCGUAAAGCGCACGUAGGCGGCUUUCUAAGUCGGGGGUGAAAUCCUGGAGCUCAACUCCAGAACUGCCUUCGAUACUGGGACGCUUGAGUAUGGUAGAGGUUGGUGGAACUGCGAGUGUAGAGGUGAAAUUCGUAGAUAUUCGCAAGAACACCGGUGGCGAAGGCGGCCAACUGGACCAUUACUGACGCUGAGGCGCGAAAGCGUGGGAGCAAACAGG